CUUGCAAAGGGAACAUUUUUCUAUGGCCAAGAAAAUAUUUUCCCUGGUGUUUUUGAUGGGGUAUGUGUGUGUGGAAUGGAAAUAGCAUUACUUCUUUUCUGAUUCUUUGAGUCAUGUGUUUUCAUUGACAGGCGUUUGUACCAUUCAGAAAUGUAAGGAAGAAGGAACAUGUCAAAUAGUGCAUACUUUUAAACGAAGGAAUGUCACCCCCUUUCUCCCAUCCUGCCUUUAUAACUGUGUCCCAAUUCACGUUCUCACACCCUCACUUCAUAGGGGAAGCCAUGCCAUCCACCUAACAUAUGCCCUCUCCUGGGCAAGGGCACCAAAGGGAUUUGGGCGACCCCUGAGAGGAAGGGUGGCUUAGCAUACAAAGAUGCGUGCCAGGCACACUCUACUCACAUUGUUUGGGCUUGACCUGCAGCUCCACCAACUCUCCCACUUACCAUGCUUAUCAUCCAGCUCCAAGCGACAUACGGAACAUAUCAAUUCCUCAUCUAUAAAACAGGAUAACAAUACUCUUUUCCUCAAGGAAUGUGUGUUUUCAGUAAGUCAUUGCAUGAAUGCUUUACCCAAAAGUAUGUGCUCAGAGUCAGAAGCUGAAUUAUUUCUUGUGCUGCUGUCUCUCCGUCCCAGGUUGCUCCCUUCAUCUCACCAGGGUAAAUCCAAAUCACCUGUAAGGGGUUCUUUUUUUUUUUAUGUCUACUCCUUUAUUUAUUUUUUUAAAUUAGAGUUGACUUACAAUGCUCCAAAGAAGACAUGCAGAUGUAACAUUCUCUGCAUUUAUUGUUCAGAUUUCCAAGAAUAUCAAGAUAUUGUUUAAUAAACAGAUGGUUCAAAUCGUGUGAUAUAUACAGAUCUGUUUUCAGGAAUAAAACAAUACGUGAAUUUUAUAAUGAGGGCCUAAGAUACCUCUAAUUGGAUAUUUUGAUAAGCUUUGUUUUUUCCCCAAGCAUUUCACUUUUAUCUCUCUGACUAGAACUUGUUAAGGAAACCAAGAUUUUAGGUCUUUCCUACCUGUCACCCUUUAUUUUCUGGUCUCCAGGGGAUCAUAGGGACUAAUGCUUUUUAUGAAUUGCUGUCAGAUUGUGGAUUAAAGCACAAAAAAUGGAAGACAAACCAAACAGGACGUAAUUUCUUAGGGCAGAUUGUUUAACAGCGUCCUACCAUUUUUCUAAGAAUUUCGGCUCUCACAGUAGUUUCAUCAGCUUUCGUAUAUUACGAGAAAAUCAUGAGAGGUGAGAUGUUACAGAAUUCUAAGGAAAAUAUUUACUUGCCAACUAAAAGAGGUUCACACAUGUUUUCACUUGGUUUUUGAGUUUCACUUAAAGAUAAAGUGUUUUCACUAUAAAUCUGGAAAAUGUCAGAGAAUAAACCUGGAAGGUAAGGAGGUUGGAACUAUCUUCAUUAAAAUUUGAAUGAAUAUUAUAUCCGUGUUUUUUUAGUGACUAUUAUAUUCUUGUGCUGUGUUUUAAUAAGCAGUAUAUUUCCUUGACUUUCAUACUCAUUGCUUAACAUACUUAUUUUUAUUCAUUCACAAAUUCGAAAGUUCUCCUCCCUGAGUAUUUAGUAAAAGAAUAUUUAUGAUUUAAUGGACUUCAAGCAAAUCGCUUCUUAGCCUGCAAAUGUUGUCUAUGGCUUCACGCAGCAAGCACGUCCCUGUCCCCCACCAAGCAUGUGGCCGAGCUUCUCCUACACUCCAGACCCCCGGAGUCUUUCCCAGACUCAUGUAUUCGUGAGUUGAGUAUUACUCAAUAAAUCCACAUCUCUCUGCUCUCAGUGGUGCAUUGAACUUCUGUCUUCAGAAAGCAGGCAUUAAUGAUUCCUGUGUCCUUGUUCUGAGUGGCAAUUGAUCACUUUAAACUAUAUAAUCCCAUCAGCUUGUAAAUAUGGAAUAUAUUACUUCUCACGAAAUACAUUAUCCUGUUCAGUUCUCCAUUAAAGGCUUACCUGCCACUUUUCAACCUGUGAGCCUUUGGAAAUUAAUCUGUAAUUUUAGACUAAGCUACUUCUUUAUUUUCAAAAGUGUACACCAAUUGUAAAUUUGGAAAUUAUACUUAAUCUAGAUAACUUUUUAAAACAGCAAAUAAGGUCAUUCUUGAGACUACUCACGAGAAGAUACAUAUUUUUUCCUUGUUACACUAAUUGAACAUUCAUGUAAUAUUUUCCACUGGAAGCCACUUCUUAGCCAUCUGAAGAAAUCAUCUGUGUAACAGUUAUCACAGUGCUAUUUACAACAGUGACCAUUUAGAAAAAGACUAAAUACACAACAACAGGUACUACAUUAUGUCAUUUUCAUCGUAGGAACAGUCAGGUAUCUGAAGAGCAAACAUUAUGUUUUAAGGCAAGUUGAUGAACUAGGAAAGUGUUCACUGUAUUUUAUUAGAAGAAAUAAGUAGAUUAUAAUUUGUGUAAACAGUUAGGGUACAGGAUACUUUUUCAAUACUCUGUGGGUAGGCAGAAAAAUUAAAAGGGAUAAACUAUAUUGAAAUAGUAAUAAUGGUUAACAGUGUGGUGAGAUUAUGUGUGAUUCAGAUUCCAGUUUUUGUUCAGUUUGGUUUGGUUUUCCUGGAUUGUGAUCCCAUAUUACAUUUGUUUUGGUUUUGUUUUUUUCGGUUUUUUUUUUUAAGUUUUCUUGAAAUACAGUUGAUUUACAAGGUUGUGACAUUUUCUGCUAUACAACAAAGUGAUUCAGUUUCCCAUAAAUACAUGUCCAUUCUUUUUUGGUUUCUUUUCCCAUAUAGAUUAUCACGGAAUAUUGGGUAGGGUUCCCUGAGCUAUUCAGCAGUUCCCUGCUGACCAGUCAUUCCACACACAUCACUCUGCAUAUGCCAAUCCCAAAUGCCCAGUCCAUCACCCCUGCCAUCUUUUCCUUUUGGUACUCAGGGUUUGUUUUCAAAGUCUGUGAGUCUGCUUUUGUCUGAUAAAUCAGUUCGUUUGUAUCCAUGUUUUAGAUUGCAGAUAUAAGUGAUAUUGUAUGAUAAUUUGUUUUUCUCUGUCCAAGUUACUUCACUCAGCAUGAGAAUCUCUAGGUCCAUCCGUGUUGCUGCAAGUGGCAUAAAUUUAUUCUUUUUAAUGGCUCAGUAAUAUUCCAUUGUAUAUAUGUAACACAUCCUUGUUCACAGCAGCACUAUUUACAAUAGCCGAGAUAUGGAAGUAACCUAAACAUCCAUUGACAGAUGAAUAUAUAAAGAAGACAUGGUAUAUAUUACUUUUGUAAUCAGGAGCGAAGAAAUUAAUAAAUAAUUGGCGGCCAGGAAGCAGACAUUUCUUUCCUGCAUUCUUUCUCCAAAUACAGUCAUUUGGUGGAACUUAAUCAAGUGCAGUCAUUUUCAGUGAACCCUCUGAUUAAACACACAGCCAACAUUCUUUCUGAAUGCCACAGAUUUCACUUGAGAACAUUUCAAAGCGAUAGAGACCAAGCAGAGGGUGCAAUAGUGGGGUUAUGGUCGGGUUGGAGAGAAGAACAAGGACUGGAAAGUUACAAGGAUGUGGGGGGUGAAGGGGGGGUAAGAAUGUGAGGACAGAGUUGGGGGUGGAGGAUUGAGAGUCCAAAAGCCGGCCUCUGAGCCAGGCCCUAAGGAAAGGGUCUCACCUUAGACAUAGCUCAGAUGCUUUUUCUGAAAAUAUUCUGCCCUUACUCUUUCAUGAUCAAUUCCAAGUUGAAAUAUGGUGAGAUUCUACUGUGUUCUCUUUCUGGGUAUUUCGUAGAGGACUGAUGUUUUAAAUUGACCUGAAAGCUCCCCCCGCAAAAAAAAUAGGUUUUCAAAAUUUCUAUUGGAAACGCAGGAGGUGGAUCUGAACCAAAUGUUACAUAGUUGGUUAUGUAUCAAAAUGCCUUCCAGCUAAGAGAGAAGAAAUAAGAACCAUUGUUCCUAAACGGAUAGAAAAUCUCCACGCUUUUGGUAAAGGGGAGUCAACCUUGCAAAAGAUUUUGUCUUUUUUCAUAACCCGAGAGGGGAUCAUUUCUCUCUUAUCACUCAAGAAAGGCUCAUUGAUCUUGUAACCCAAAUUCCACUUUCUCUGCUACACGUAGGAAUGUCCUCGCUUAUUAUCUAUUAGCCUACCCUUUCCAGGAAAAAUAAUAUGCUAUAAUGAUAUAUAUGCAUGGAUAUAUGUUUACAAUGUAGAAAACAUUUAUUUCUCAGUUCAGAGAACUUCUGGAUUUAUCAUCAGUUGUUGGGAAGUAAAGAAUGGUCUGUUUUAUUUUGAAUUAGCAUCGGAUAAAUGGUAACAAGAGGGGAAUCUUCCUGUCUGUACAUAGUAAUUCUUUUUUUAAAAAAUUAUAGUUGAUUUACAAUGCUGUGCCAAUUUCUGCUGUGCAGCAAAAUAACCCAAUCAUACACAUAUACUUAUGUUCUCUUUCUUAUAUUAUCUCCCAUCACGUUCUGUCCCGGGAGAUUGGGUAUAGUUCCCUGUGCUAUUCAUUAGGACCUCAUUGCGUAUCCAUUCUAAAUAUAAUUGUUUACGUCUCCCAGCCCCAAACUCCCAGUCCGUCUCAAACCCUCCCUCCUCCCCCUUGGCAACCACAACUCUGUUCUCUGUGUCUGUGAGUCUGUUUCUGUUUUGCAGAUGGGUUCAUGUGUGCCAUAUUUUAGAUUCCAUGUAUAAGUGAUAUCAUAUGGUAUUUCUCUUUCUGAAAUAUUUCACUUAGUAUGAGAAUCUCUAGUUGUAUGUAUCCAUGUUGCUGCACACGGCAUUAGUUAAUUCUUUUUUAUGGUGAAGUAGUAUUCCAUUGUGUAUAUGUACCACGUCUUCUUAAUCCAUUCUUCGGUCAAAUGGACAUUUAGGUUACUUUCAAGUCUUGGUUAUUAUGAAUAGUGCCGCUAUGAACAUACAGGUGCAUGUAUCUUUUUGAAUUGUGAUUUUGUUCAGAUAUAUGCCCAGGAGUGGGAAUGCUGGAUCAUACGGUGGUUCUAUAUUUAGUUUUCUGAGGCACCUCCCUACUGUUUUUCGUAUUGGUUGUACCAAUUUACAUUCCCACCAACAGUGAAGGGAGGGUUCCCUUUUCUCCACAUCCUCUCUAGCAUUUGGUAUGUGUAGAAUUAUUAAUGACCACCUACAUGAUGGUUCUUGAUUAUCACAUUAAGUACACAUCUGCUGGCCAUUUGAAAGGAAGAAAAAUACUACAAAUGUCUAAUUUGAUCCCCACCAUCCAAAAAUACAGUUAUAGAAGGUAGGAGGCUCCAGUAUAUGAAGGAAAUCAUUUUAAUUGGAAUGGUAGUCCCUUUAGACAUUUAAACAUAGUUUUUAGUUUCAAAAGAGUUCACAAAUUCGUAAGCCCCAAAACCAAUUUUUGAGGAGCAAACUCUCUCUAUUAGUAGUGUGGAAUUCUGGGAUAAAAAGAAAGACAAAUUAUUCACUAGAGAGAUCUUCCUGAUGUCACGUCAAAUGAGAUGACCGAAUAAAAUAUCUUGUGAGUGGACUGAAGAUCAUUAAUCAUACUGGUUAGUGACCAAAGGUAAUGAACUUAGAUUUAGGAAAAGUUGUUGAAACAGUAGUCCCAAAUUAUGUUUUUCGUUUAUAUUCUAUUUGUUCAUUAAUAAGUGUAAACUGAAGACAGUGUCCACAUUGGGAUAGUGAACACUGUGGAUUGUUUGCAAACUGGCCAACAAUGUACUUUAGUCAGUUUUUCUUGGCAAAUUUAUACUUAAGGCUGUCCAUUGCCAGAAAUCUGUUCCAUAAUGAUGUCAUCAACAGUUUGCCAGGAGAAAAAGCUAAGAGAAAGAGCUAAAAGAAUGCAGAUUGGAAAGUAAUUCCUGCAUGUUUUAUUGGCCAUAUGUGUCCCCCCUGCCUCAAUUUUCCUUAUUGGGCUAUCAAACGACAAUCCUCGUUUGAAUCUGCGAGUCUUUUAAGUGUAUUUUCAUUUUUCCCCCAUAAGGAGUUAUAGAGGUAAUAUUUUCUUGUUGAGCUGUUGCAUUAAAAUAUUAAUUAGGCCCUGUAAUUUGUGAGCAGCUUAUUAUAAUUUUAGGUAAAAAUGCCAGGAGUUUGUAUCACUGGCAUUCUGUAUCCUGUUGUCUGAUGGAAUGGGGAAAGUAAUCAGGCUUUUUGGUUACCUGUUUAAUGAUAUGAAUAAAAAAUAGCAGCAAAUGAAACUUAUGCUUGCAAAACAAAGUAAUUGCAAAAUACUCUUUGACCUUAUAGCAUUUAUGCUAAAACACAGGGACACUUCCAUGUCAACGUAAGUAUCUGUGACACCCCCAUUAAAAAGUGUUCAAUUACCCUAGAGACCCACUGACUCAUAGAUUCUCUGUGACAUUAAUGGGGUCAUCAAGAUAUGAUCUUUGAAUUGCUUUGACUAUCCAUCUACAUUUAAUAAGCUGAACUAUCUUUAAAUACCAUCUGUGGAAGUAAAAAAAGAAAAAAAAAA
rnacentral:lncRNA from 1 species